rnacentral:rRNA from 1 species
GUUCGGAUUGCGGCGACGUGGGCGGUUCGCUGCCCGCGACGUUGUGAGAAGUCCACUGAACCUUAUCAUUUAGAGGAAGGAGAAGUCGUAACAAGGUUUCCGUAGGUGAACCUGCGGAAGGAUCAUUG